rnacentral:rRNA from 1 species
AGAUUGAACGCUGGCGGCAUGCCUUACACAUGCAAGUCGAACGGCAGCACGGGGGCAACCCUGGUGGCGAGUGGCGAACGGGUGAGUAAUGCAUCGGAACGUGCCCAGUAGUGGGGGAUAACUAGUCGAAAGAUUAGCUAAUACCGCAUACGACCUACGGGUGAAAGCGGGGGAUUCGCAAGAACCUCGCGCUAUCGGAACGGCCGAUGUCUGAUUAGCUAGUUGGCGGGUAAAAGCCCACCAAGGCUUCGAUCAGUAGCUGGUCUGAGAGGACGACCAGCCACACCUGGGACUGAGACACGGCCCAGACUCCUACGGGAGGCAGCAGUGGGGAAUUUUGGACAAGUGGGCGCGAAGCCUGAUCCAGCCAUGCCGCGUGCGGGAGAAGGCCUUCGGUUGUAACCGCGUUUGGCGAGAACGAAACGGCGCGGAGCGAAUAUCGUACGUACGUUAA